UUUUUUUUUCGUUUUUUU
rnacentral:sRNA from 1 species